rnacentral:rRNA from 1 species
GUACACUCCUGCGGGAGGCAGCAGUGGGGAAUUUUGGACAAUGGGCGAAAGCCUGAUCCAGCCAUGCCGCGUGCAGGAUGAAGGCCUUCGGGUUGUAAACUGCUUUUGUACGGAACGAAACGGCCUUUUCUAAUAAAGAGGGCUAAUGACGGUACCGUAAGAAUAAGCACCGGCUAACUACGUGCCAGCAGCCGCGGUAAUACGUAGGGUGCAAGCGUUAAUCGGAAUUACUGGGCGUAAAGCGUGCGCAGGCGGUUAUGUAAGACAGUUGUGAAAUCCCCGGGCUCAACCUGGGAACUGCAUCUGUGACUGCAUAGCUAGAGUACGGUAGAGGGGGAUGGAAUUCCGCGUGUAGCAGUGAAAUGCGUAGAUAUGCGGAGGAACACCGAUGGCGAAGGCAAUCCCCUGGACCUGUACUGACGCUCAUGCACGAAAGCGUGGGGAGCAAACAGGAUUAGAUACCCCUGUAGUCCCAU